ACCAUAACUCUCACCUCUUCUCUCUCAUUCAAACAUACUUUAAAGUACAAAUGCAGUGGGAAGGUGAGGCUUGGUAGGUGACACGUUCAGGGUAUCAAGCAAAAACUAAAGCCCAUAAAGACAUGAGAAAUUCUGUGCAUGAUUGCUGGAGGUUGUGUUGUGUGGGGUGUUUUUAUGCUUUGUGCGGGUCUAUGUCAGCAUGUGAUCAUCAAUCACCACUGGAAAGGAAACUUGUUUACGGUUUUCAUCGAGGUUACAGGUAACGCUUUUCUGCAACAUCAUUUUUGCUAUUAAUUUACAUCUCUAGUGGAGAGUUUUAUUAUGAGCAAGACGGGGAUAAUGAGAGGUGGAUUUAGCGCGGGGAUAAUGAGGUGGAAAGCUUAAUAUAUCAUCAAGUUCAAUUAUAGGACGGAUAUAUGAUAUUGUUUAUGUUGUCUUGCUACAUAGAAUCAUUUGCAACCUUUGUUUGCCCUCCUAAAAAUGCUAUCCCAAAACGGCAUGCAUGGGACAACCAGUUGACUAAGAUUUAAACGUCAAUAAAUCAUGUGGGUUGGUGUUGGUGGAGAGUUGGUUGUAGCUGUAGAUCAUAUCAUUCAGGUGUGGCUAAUUAAAUAUUGGAGAUAAUCUACCAACGUUUUAAAAUAAUAUAAAUUAUGCAGUAGAUUACAUUUUAUACAUUGGAAAUCUAAAAAGGCCAAUAUAAUAAUUGGAAAACAAUCCCCAAGUUGUGUAAAAUAAAUAUUUUUAAAAGACAGAAGGAAAAGAACUCGAAACCAAUUGGAUUCAUGAAAAUCUGGGUCUUUCUUAAUUAAGAGAACCCAUAUGUUUUCGUCAUUAUGUGGUGGAGGGGAAACAAAAGAAUUAUGGAAUCAAGAACGGAAACAAUUAUUGUAUUACAAGCAGAACGAGUGGUUCGGUCGGUGAAGUGAAGCCUUGUUUGAUGGUUUUGUUAAAUUCGAUUGGCGUCAAAUGAAAAGCUCGCGUAUGAUAAAAUGAAUGGAGGAUAGAUAAAGCCUAUCCACUUCUGCUGCUUCUGAUUGCUUAGCUCACUACCUGCCCCGCCUCUUUAAUUUCUCUUUCUUUCCCACAUAAAUUAUGUGUUCCAUACUCUCUCACGCUAGAUGCUUCAAUUUCUGGCAACUGUAAGCUCGACUAUUUCCACUCAUCACUUCUCACUUCUCUAAGGGAAGAGUUCUUUUGUUGGUUGUGUUCAUAAAAUAUAAGAUGGCUUUUCUUAUUUGUUAUUUUUAUUAGUGUCCGUUAUGGUGUAUGACUACUUGUACACAGUCCCUUCUUGGGUUAAUCUUCCAUGGGCAUAUUAGUUUCUUUUGAUUUUAGUAUCUGAGUCGCAACUGCAUUCUCUCUGCAUCCUAAGCUGAAGCAUCUAGGUUUCAUGUCUUGUGUUUCAUUUUCUCAAAAUUAAAUGAACGUGAUGCAACAGUUUCUUUAUUUUCAUGAAAUAAUUUGGACCCUUGUGAUCAGAUGUAUCUGGAGGAAAAAAAAAAUCGAAAGAUCAAUAUGCUUCGAAGUUCAAAGUGUUCAUGCAGGAAUUUUAUUCCUCCAAAUCAUGUCUCAGAGCUUGAAUUUGGAGUUCUUAAGUAGUUUAUUAUUGUACUCAAAGCAUAGAUGAACUUUCGUGUGCUGGGAGUCCCUGCUAUAUACCUCAAGAUUUUCUUUCUUGAGGGAGAAUUCCGAAAUUUAUUGCAUAGUAUGACACUACAUAGCAAUGCAGAAUGCAGAUUGCAGAUCUGUUCAUUCUUUAUAGACUCUCUCAAGUCAAAUAAAAGAAUGGAUAUUGCCGCAUUUCGUUAGGGAUUGUGGGUUGCAGUUUGAAUUGCUUUUGACAUCUCCAAAUCUUGUAAAUCGCUAUCUGAAAUCAUGGAAAUUGCGGAAACAAAAUGUUUGUCUGGCUACGGCAAGCCUCCUUGGAUAUUUAAAGGCAGUGCCUUGUACCAGCUUCAUCUUGUGAAAGCAGAAACAGCUCGAGCGUUAAUUCCAAAAGAGUUCAGAUUAGUUGAAGCUUUUGGGUACACUCUUGGUGGCUUUUUUCUUGCCAACUACGAGGAAAGUCCUGCUGGAGCAUUUGAUGAGGUUUUAGAUAUGUGUUCUUUACUCAAAAUUGUUUGCUUUGAAAUUGAUCUUUGGUGAUUAAAUUCAUCUCAUGUCAUGGAAAAUUGUCAAUGAGCUUUUGUAUGGCCACUUGAGUAAAAAGGAUUGUUUGGUUUUGGUUAGUUCAUUGAUCAAUAGCAUCAGUAACAGUGUUUUUCUAUCCACAGCUAGUGGUGAUUGCGGGAAUCGUGUGGAACCCUCCAAUGUCUUGUGCGUAUGUUUACCAUCCCAUCUCUUCUUGUUUAUAAUGAUGAAUAAUAAACAAUUGAUUUAAAAGCAAAAGCACCCAUUUUUUUUCUUGGUUCAAUUACUAUCAUCUGGCCCAUAGCCUUUGUCUUGAUCCAAGUUUUAUUUCCCAGUUUGAUGAGGGCCAUCAUGGUUUAACUUUACUGGCUACAUAUAUAGUGGGUCAGUCAACUUUGUAACUUGCAUUUCUUUUCUAUUGUUCAACACAUAUUCUUAUCAUGCAAUUAAAAAAAAAAAAAACAAAUAUUGCAUAUAGUAAAAACUCCAAAUCCACAUUAAAUAUUUAACCAUAACAAAAAUUAAGCCAAUUUUAAUCAUUAGAUGAAGUGAUGCAAUUUUUAUUAAUUUAGAAAAGAAAGAUACAUAAAAAAAAAAAUAAAGAAGAAUAGCAUAUAUUUGGCAGUAAAAAGCUUCUCAAAUGAGGAACCCAAAAAGAGCCAUAAAAUGAAUUGGAAAUUAAAGGUCAUCAAAUUAAUGACCAAGGGAAACAAGCAUUUCCCAUAGCAAAGAGAAGAAGAAAAGAAAUCUAAGGGCAUUUGGGUCCUCCACGCUUGGUCUUCCAGUUGUUGUAGCAAGGGCA
rnacentral:misc_RNA from 1 species